rnacentral:lncRNA from 1 species
CAAAGUUGCUAGGAGUUGGUACCAGCGUUUGGGAGGUAGAGGUGGCGCUCAUGCAUAUUUGAGACAACAUCUGGAUGGUUGGGGAGAACGGUGAUGCCACACUCAAUCAGAAACUAUGCUACUGCUGAAGAGGUAUAUUGAGCCCUGCCUGGUUAACCUCCAGUGAGGUUAUUAGAGAAUUGGGAGAGGCUCAAAUCAGCAUCCUGCACCUAGUUAUCAAACCAUUGUGAAGUCUUGAUUCCUGGAUGGCCAGAAAACUUGUCAUUGGUCAAGAGCAACAUUAAGAUCUGCCUGUUACUCAUACUGAUGCUUCCUGCCCAGCAAGUUCAUCAGAGGGCGAGGAUGAAUUACGGUUGCCAUGAAUGUCCUUGUGAGGCAGUUGGGAAGCCUUGGCUGGAUUGUGAAGGAUAUUUGAAAAGUAUUUUAGAGUCCACCAGAUCAUCCAUGUGAGUGACCAUGCAGCAAAAGAAGGAGGGUCCUCUCAGUGAUUAAGGAUUAUGAAGUAUUAAUUCUUCCACUGAUAUCUCAAAAGGUGAUCUGGACAAAGGAACAGGUAUCUCAGAUUCCCAGUUCUCAAUCUUCCUUCCUCCUUACAAGAUACAAGCAACCUUCAACCUUCCCAGAGAUGGUCUCUGUAUAUGAAAGACAAUGGUCUUAUUAUGAAGUCGGCAUAUUUAUAGCUUGAUAAAAACUGAAAAAUCUGUAGCCUAUUUUUAAUAGUGAUAUAUAAGGAAAUAACAUAAAUAAAAAUUUGGCAACAAGAAUCCAGGAGCAAAUUUAUGAUCAAUACACAAUUGGGCAAGUGGUGUUCAUACCAACCAUGCAAAAAUGGUUCAAUUUUAGGAAAUCUUUGAAUAUAGCUUUUAGUAGGUCAGAGGAAAUCAGUAUCUCAAAGUACUUUCAUGAUUUAGUUAUUUUUAAGUUAUUGAUCAUUUUGGAUUUUAUUUUGAGGUUGAUAGCCAUAUAAUGAUUUCACAUUUUAUUUUAAAUGGCUAGCUGUUGUCCCAAUACUAUUUACUGAAAAAUCUACAUUUUGCUCACUCUUUUUUUUUUUUUUUAAGAGACAGGGUUUUACCAUGUUGCCCAGGCUAGAUUUGAACUCCUGGGCUCAAGUGAUCCUCUCGACCCAGCCUCCUGAGUAUCUGUGACUGCAGGCAAGUACCCCUGUGCCUGCUCACUUAUUUAAAGUUCUACACAUCAAAUACUAAAUUCUCAUCUAUUUGACUUCUGGACUCACUGGUUGGUGUCAUUGACUGUCUUUUCCUGUGAUAGCAUAGAAUUAUUUUGAUUGUGGAAGUACUAUAAAUGUUGCUAUUUAUUGUGCCUCUUGCUGCCUAUCUAUAUUUAGACUCAUUUAUGUGAUGCCAUUCUGUAUACUCUAAAUUUUUUGGUUCUAUUUUAAUAAUGUUUGAGUCAAUGACUUUUCAUGACUCUUGACUUCCCUACUUCAACAGUUUACUAGUCUCCAUCUUGAAUGUUUUUAUUAAUCUAUUUUGUGUUAAUUCUACCCAGGUUUUUUGUUUUUCCUUGCUACUAUUAUAUAUAUUUCUGCCAGAUGUCACAUGGUAUAAAUGCCUAUAUGGACUUUUGUAACAGAAAAUUUACUUACUAGAAUUAAUGUAGGGGGCUUUUUAAUAAGAGUGCAUGUAACAUAGUAACAGUAGCAGAGCUAUAUCAGAAACAGUUCUGAUAAUAUUUCAUGAUCUAUAGUUUGUUGCAUGCCCAUUGCUUCAUACUGCUUGUGUUCUUGGUUGAGUCAUAAGUAAUUUUUAUGGGGUGUGUCAUGACUGUCAUAUUCAUAGAGAGUUGUCUGCCUUGCCCCAUGGUCUUUGCAUGGCUUAAACAGGACCCCUUUUCAUACACAAGUCAUUCAAUUUUAUGUUUUUAAUAGCAUCAAUUUUAGUGUUUAACAUGUGUCUCUGGACUAUGCAUCAGAAUACUUGACUGUUAGUGUGAAAUGAAAAUUCAUGGAUAUCAUAAUUUAUGUAACAUAAUUUAACAUUUCUUUAUUAAUAAGACUUUAGAUUGUCCCUUUCACAAAAAAAUGGUGCGGUUAAAACUUAAUCCUUGUGUCUUUUUGUGAGUAGUUCUAUGAUUUCUAUAUGAUGGCAUCCUUGAAAAAGUUGGUAAAAAUAAGAAUAGUUCUUAUUUAUUAAAGUUCUUCUCAAAUUGCUCUUCCAAAACAUUUUAGUUUAUACUGCAAUGUUAACCAUUUUACACUUGCUUAAGUAAUUUUCUUCAAAUACACACGAGUCCAGGCUAUUUAACCUUAUUUUACCGCUAUAGCACAAAACAGGUUUUCCAAAAUUGUCCUUGCACACCUGGGAUUUUACAAGGAUAUUAUAAUCUUGGUUCAGUUUGACUUACUGAAUUUGUAGUAAGUAUAUUUUAGCACAUAGAAAAUUCAAAAUAUGUGUUAAUCUGUUUAUAGGGUAAAUUUUUAUGAGGGUGGAUGUCAUCCUGUUUUUUUUUUUUUUAAUAAAUGUUUUGUUUCAGAAUGUUUUUUAUUUACAGAAAAGUUACAAACAUAGUACAGAGAGUUCCCAAAUGCUCCACACCGAGUUUUCCCUAUUGUUUUUUUUUUUUUUUUUGAGAUGGAGUCUCGCUCUGUUGCCCAGGCUGGAGUGCAGUGGUGCAAUUUCGGCUCACUGCAAGCUCCGCCUCCCGGGUGCACCCCAUUCUCCUGCCUCAGCCUCCGGAGUAGCUGGGACUACAGGUGCCCGCCACCGUGCCCGGCUAAUUUUUUGUAUUUUUAUUAGAGACGAGGUUUCACUGUGUUAGCCAGGAUGGUCUCGAUCUCCUGACCUCGUGAUCCGCCCGCCUCGGCCUCCCAAAGUGCUGGGAUUACAGGCCUGAGCCACCGAGCCCGACCAGUUUUCCCUAUUGUUAAUAUCUUGAAUUAGUAUAGUACAUUUGUCUCCUUCUCCUUUUUGCCCUUGGUAACCUCUAAUCUACUUUCAGUCUCUGAAUUUGCCUAUUCCAAAUAUUUUGUAUAAGUGGAAUCAUACAAUAUUUGUCCUUUUGCUUCUGGCGUAUUUCACUUAGCACAAUGCCUUCAAGGUUCAUCCAUGUUAUAGCAUAUGUCAGAACUUUAUUCUUUUUUAUAGCUGAAUAAUAUUUCAUUGUGUGUAUAUGCCACAUUUUGUUUAUCAUUCAUUUUGUUUAUGUACCAUGUUUUGUUUAUAUACAUCUAUUAGUAUGUAUUUGUUUAGAUAUACAAUUUGCUUGUAUACCACAUUUUGUUUUUCUGCUAUCUAAUGGAUUAUGCUGCUCUGGAACAUUCAUGUGAUGCUUUUGUUAAUUGCUUAUACAUUUUAUUAAGCUAAUGAGCUUGGUCAUAGUAACAUAUAAAAUCAAGAAUCGUUUAACUUUUGCAAUAAAAAUCUUGAUGUUGACUCUG